CGGCGAGCUGCCGGCCCCACGCCCUGCCUGUGGGCGCCUGGCCUCGCCGGGGUUGUGGGUGAUGUGGGAAAGAAUCAGAAUCGGGUCUUAGCGGGGACAGGAAUCACUGCUAAAGCGGCUGAUUAGCCAGGCAGUCUGGUCUGUCUUCUAAGAAAUGCGUGCAUGCACGGGCCCACAUUGCCACGUUUGGGGAGAGUAAUAUCUAGAUUUUUUUUUCAAGAGAGGGGCCCCUCUCUUUAGCUCUGAGAGACGUCUCAUUUCCGGGGGUGUUGAAGGUGCUUUCCUUAAGCCCUACUCUCCAGGUCUUCCCUGAGCCUUGGAACCUCCCCCCUCGGUCCUGUCCUGGAGCCUGGCAGGUAUUCGCAUCCAUGAGUCAGGCCUCCUCUCCUACACCUGAGACCAAGAACUCCUGACACCAGCAGUUGGCACGGCUUCAUCUCCAGAGUCAUUUCUUCUUGUCAUCUCCGUCUCCGAGUCCUGGGCUCCAAGCCAGGGCAUUACCCACCACUAGGGCCUCUCCCUCUACCACAAAAGACCAUGGCCGGGUUUAUAGAACGCUCUGCUCCUGAGUACUCCAAGCUCACAGACACAUAUGUAGCUUCUGUUGCACGCAUUGCAGCUCACUCAUGUCCCCUCCCUGGCCUGGGGUUGCCAGGCAGACUUGGGGAGGCAUGCUGACUCAAAGCUGUCCCAAGCAGCCAGGUUCUGCAGAAACAAAGAACGUCAUGCUCAAGUGCUGACCUGCACCAUGACACUCUUCCCAUCCUCUUUCUUCUCCCUCUCUCACGGGGUGGGAGGCCCUCUGCUCUGUGCAGCUAGGUUUAAGUAGUGUGCCUAGGAUGGUUGUGGAAUCUGGUGGGGGAAGCCUUCCAGGGGCAGCGGUGUGGGCCUAGUCCUGCCCGGGUGCCACAUAUACUCUACUCAGAACCUUUGCAAACUCUCCUGAGACCCUGACUGCUCAAAGGGCCUCGGUGGUAGGCUUUCUUUGGAGCCUGAGACCUGAGACCUGUCCUCUAUGGGCAGAGUUCCAGGUAUUGUCCCACCCCCAACCCCUGGCUGCCCCAGUCUCAAGUGUCUGUGCAAAGGUGGGUGUGUGGGAAGGGGCUGGUGACUGUGGGCAGGUGAGAGAGGUCUAGUAUUCCAGCCAGUACUAGUUCUGUUAGAGUCAGUUCCCUUGGCCCCCACGCUAUCCCUCACUCCGAGGACAGCGUGGACAUGUGUGCGCGCUAUCAGCACAAGAAUGCUAAAUUUCAGGAUGGUCAGGCUCCAGGGCUUGUCUUGCUCAGCCCCUCCCCCAUGAAACUCAAACCAAGACCAGCCCAGGUGGGUGAGGCCAGUGAAGUUUAUUCAGUGCUCUCCCUGUCUUUUAGAACCCAAGUGCCGGAGCAUCAGGGUGAAGGGGUUGUGUUAAGUCUUGCCUCUACAAUUUCCUGGUGUGAGAAUCUGAGCAAGUCACUUUGCUUCUCUCUAACCAGGAACGACUGUCUGCUCUGGGGUAAACUGAAGAUGUUGAGAGUGUGGCACUGAUACUGCCUGCCUAGGGUUCUGAGCUAGAGUUCACCUGCCCACAGCCAUUCUCUCGGUGGCCUAUCUAAUACAUCUCUGUAGCCACAGAGGCUCUUGGUCUGAGGGCACACCCCUGCUUCUGUGAACGUUGGUGCAGCAGGUCCUGACCCAGGUCUAACAGCCUCAACAGGUGAUGGGAAGGUCACCUGCCCCAAGAGACAGUGAUGGCAAGGGAGACUCCUCAGACCAUAUCAGGCUGACGUCACUCCUGCGCAAGGAUCAGAUGCCAGCAUGGGCUACAGCGUUGCAGCAGCCCUGGUAAUCUCAGGCUAGCACGGGGCUCUUUAGGGUUUUCCUUUGUCCUUUUUCCUCUUGGUUGUAGCCUCCCCCAGCCUGAAGCAGGCUAGUACAGACCUUGUCACCA
rnacentral:lncRNA from 1 species